GUGACUGAUGCUGACCGUCUCUGUGUGAAGAGCUCUCAGGUCAUCUGACCAAUUCCUCCUACUUAUGCAAAAAUCUAAGCAGAAACUCGGGAGACAGAGGCCAAGAUUUCUGAAGAUCUAACUCAAGAAGAGAGUCAUCUAGGAUUUUCUUAUUAUACCACAGGUUUGACCAAGUCUGAUUUUCCACCCCACUCCCAGUACUCCCACUGCUUCCUCCCACCACUCUGAACAUGAAGGUUGAAGUUUAUAAAAGGCUCGUGUAUGGCUGCAUCUUCUUACUAUUGGCUGCCAUCAUCUUCAUGACAUAUUUCAAGGCCAUC